rnacentral:rRNA from 1 species
CCUACGGUGGGCAGCAGUGGGGAAUAUUGCACAAUGGGGGAAACCCUGAUGCAGCGACGCCGCGUGAGUGAAGAAGUAUCUCGGUACGUAAAGCUCUAUCAGCAGGGAAGAAAAUGACGGUACCUGCCUAAGAAGCCCCGGCUAACUACGUGCCAACAGCCGCGGUAAUACGUAGGGGGCAAGCGUGAUCCGGAUUCACUGGGUGUAAAGGGAGCGUAGACGGCAGCACAAGUCUGGAGUGAAAUCCCGGGGCUUAACCCCGGAACUGCUUUGGAAACUGUGCGGCUGGAGUGCGCGGAAGGCAGGCGGAAUUCGUGGUGUAGCGGUGAAAUGCUUAGAUAUCACGAAGAACCCCGAUUGCGAAGGCAGCCUGCCGCAGCGUUACUGACGCUGAAGCUCGAAAGCGCGGGUAUCGAACAGGAUUAGAUACCCCAGUAGUC